AACUCGCAGACGUAGAAUCCACAUUGGACCGAUCCGACUGGUUGCUUAUGGCACUGAUGUAUGACAAAAAAGUGGAUAUUUAUUAGUUGCAACAACGUCAUAUGCAUAUUAUAUUUAUAAAAGACAGCUUGUGAUAUUUUGGUACGUACCGGCCAUUUAUAAAAUAAUCUCAAUGGCUGCCCCGGUUCUGAUGAAUCACACCUUCCACCUUUGAUCUUAUAAUACCUAUAGGCCCUAU
rnacentral:lncRNA from 1 species